AUUGAACGCUGGCGGCAUGCCUUACACAUGCAAGUCGAACGGCAGCAUGGGUGCUUGCACCUGAUGGCGAGUGGCGAACGGGUGAGUAAUGCAUCGGAACGUACCCGGAAGUGGGGGAUAACGUAGCGAAAGUUACGCUAAUACCGCAUAUUCUGUGAGCAGGAAAGCGGGGGAUCGCAAGACCUCGCGCUUCCGGAGCGGCCGAUGUCGGAUUAGCUAGUUGGCGGGGUAAAGGCCCACCAAGGCAACGAUCCGUAGCGGGUCUGAGAGGAUGAUCCGCCACACUGGAACUGAGACACGGUCCAGACUCCUACGGGAGGCAGCAGUGGGGAAUUUUGGACAAUGGGCGCAAGCCUGAUCCAGCCAUGCCGCGUGAGUGAAGAAGGCCUCGG
rnacentral:rRNA from 1 species